rnacentral:lncRNA from 1 species
CUUUCGUGGAGAGACAGGAUCUGAGGAAGGGAAGGAGUUCAUUAUUAUUCUCUGAAGUCAUCAGGGAGCACCAAGAGGGUGGGAUUUCAGGAAGUAUUUAAAUGAAAGGAGACACAUGGCUUGGCACAGUGAGAGGGAGGUUUUCCAGGCUUCCUGUGCUGUCUUGGGGACCUGCUCAGAGGCUGGACCGCGUCAUGCUCAGAAGGCUAACAUCUUCUAGUCAAACAACUCUCCUUUUCAAAGGGACCAGGCACAGUUUCUGCUUAUCCCUGAGUAGCAGUGUUCAGUUUCCUGCCAGCCUGUGGAGUUUUUCAAACAAGCCAAUCACCUCCUCCUGUGGGAACUGAGAAGCACCCCACCCUCUCGAUACUACAAAGCCCCUGCUUGUUCCCUAGUGCAACUCCCAUGUGGUCCUGUGGAGCAUAUGGUAUCUUCCUCUUCUGGGCAGUGAGCAUAUGUGACUAAUAAACUAUCUAUCUCAUC